AUUGAACGCUGGCGGCAUGCCUUACACAUGCAAGUCGAACGGUAACGCGGGGCAACCUGGCGACGAGUGGCGAACGGGUGAGUAAUGCAUCGGAACGUGCCCAGUAGUGGGGGAUAGCCCGGCGAAAGCCGGAUUAAUACCGCAUACGACCUAAGGGUGAAAGCGGGGGAUCGCAAGACCUCGCGCUAUUGGAGCGGCCGAUGUCAGGUUAGGUUGUUGGUGGGGUAAAGGCCUACCAAGCCUGCGAUCUGUAGCUGGUCUGAGAGGACGCCCAGGCACACUGGGGCUGAGACACGGCCCAGCCUCCUACGGGAGGCAGCAGUGGGGAAGUUUGGGCACUGGGCGCAAGCCGGAUCCAGCCAUGCCGCGUGCGGGAAGAAGGGCUUCGGGUUGUAAACCGCUUUUGUCGGGGAAGAAAUCUUCUGAGCUAAUACCUCGGGAGGAUGACGGUACCCGAAGAAUAAGCACCGGCUAACUACGUGCCAGCCGCCGCAGUAA
rnacentral:rRNA from 1 species